GAGAAAGAGAGACCGAGAGAAAAGUGAGACAGAAAAAUAGAGAGGCAGAGAACGGAGAAGGAGAGAGAGAUCGAGAGAUCAAAAACUGCAGUUUGCAAUCAAGAAUGAAAAGAUGUCUCUCACUUCCUAUUAGAUUUUCUGCCAUCAUCGUAAGCCUCCACUCGCUACCCGACCAUCGGAAUCACUACUGAUUGGUAUUUUGGAUCAGAUUUGGUUUUGAUUAAGGGAAGGAGACAAAAAAAAAAAGUUUGCGGCACAGUGGAGAUUCGACUGAAACUGAAAGGUCAAGAAGGAUUCCCCAAAUUUUCUUUUGUUGGAUUUAUAUUUUGGGUUAGAAUCCAAUCCUACUUUUAAUUUUGAUUUUAGGUUUUUGAAUGUUUUGGUAGAUAUUUAGAUUCCAAAAACAGCGAUUGAUAGAGAUCAUAAGGCAGAGAGAGAAACAUUUGAGGACUGCCAUUACCGCCAUUCUGGCCUUCCACAAUCAUGAUUCAUCCGAAACCGAAACAUUUAGAAUCAACAUUAAGAGAAAGUUGGUAACUGUAAGUCACGCACAAAGACGAAGAGAUGGACAGCGAGAAAGAGGAAACAGAGUAUUCCCACCCAUUGGCAGGUAACUAUUGACUGUCAUUCACAUGGGCAACAAAGCUCUACAUCAACUUUGACAUUUCAAACAAAGCUCUACAUCAACUUUGACAUUUCAAAAGUCACAAAGGAAAUUAUGCCAAAAGGACCUCCUAAAGGAUUGGAUGGAUAACUUUCUUACAUAAUAGAAAAAUAGUUGCUAAAAUAGAAGACUUGGAUGCAUAAAAAAUGUUUAAGAAUUAUGCACCAAGUUCUAUUCCUUAUACCCUUUUCUUAUUUACUUAGUUUUCUGUUUUAUUUUAGAUUAUGAGAGAUUUAAAUUUCUGUAUUUAGGCUAUGGUUUUGUAAUCUAAGCAUCCUAAGAUUCUUAUAUCAACAUGAAUUUAAGUUUUGUAAUA